GUGAGGGGCGGGGAGGCAGUGAAACAAGGUUACUCAUUGAAAAAAUGUGGUGAACAGCCGGUAGUUAGGCUGAGCAGGAGGUAGGACAAAAAGAGAAGCAGGGUUGAGGGGAGGUUUCUUUUCUCAUGUAUUUUUAACUAUGAAAUAUUUUGAAAGUAAAAAAAUAAUAUAGCUGGCAACCACGAAUCACCCUUCAGACUUAAGAUGUUAGCAUUUCUGAUGCUUGAUAUGGCUCUUUCCCCCUUUCUUUAAAAAAAAAAAAAACAAAAAAAGACUUAGAGGCUUACAGAUUCAGCUAAUUCCCCUCCCAUCCUCACUUCUCCUCUCUCCCUCCUCACUGGUAAUUACCAUCCUUAAGUUAGUAUGAGUCCCUUGCAUUGAAACAAACAAACAAAAACCCCAUGGAGUUCCCAUCAUGGCACAGGGGAAAUGAAUCCCAUUAGGAACCAUGAGGUUGAGAGUUCCAUCCCUGGCCUCCCUCACUGGGUUAAGGAUCUGGCGUUGUCAUGAGCUGUGGUGUAAGUCGCAGACUCCACUCAGAUCCUGCGUUACUGAGUCGUAGGCCGGCAGCUGUAGCUCCAACUGAACCCCCAGUCCGGGAACCUGGCACAUGCCGCGGGUGCGGCCCUAACAAGCAAAAAAAAAAAAAAAAAAAAAAAAAAACCCAAAAACGAAUAAACAAAAAACCCCACAAACAAACAUGUUUAUCGCUCAUACCUGUACCAAUGCAGCGAGAAGAAUGAUUUCGUAGGUUUUAAAAUUCGCACCUCCUAUAAAUACAUGUAGGCAGCCUUUUAAACCUCAGCGUUAUUUUGCAGACGGUCCAAGAUGAUCACAGAGCUCUGGUUACUUCAUUUUAAUCCCUGCGUCAUUAAUACGCCAUGUCCCCUCCUGCGUGCUGUUUCCACUUCUCACUUGCACCCACAGUGUAGAGCAUCCGGGGUCAGGCCUCCUCGUGCUCGCGUGGGCGGGUCCACGAUCCCGGAAGUGGGGGAAGCCGUGCGUCACUGUGCGUCCGUCUUCAUGUUCACUGCGCGCGGGAGUUCUCGCCCAUGGGGCCGCUGCUUAUUUCGCGAUUCCGCACAGUAUUUGUUUCCAGAGGGGAAAAGCACGAAAACUGAGCCUCCAAGAGGCUGUCCCAGGCCUAAGUCACUGGAAACCGGUGUUGCGAACGCCCACCGAAGAGAAGACCUAUGGGAAGUAAGAGCGCUGUCUUCAAAUAUCAGAAAAUUCAUCGUAAGAGCUGUUUUAUCUGGGCCCGAAGGGUAGGACAAAGCUCUCAGAAGAGGUAGGUUACACAAAGAAAGGGAGUUCCAGUUAACACAAGGAAGAAUGAUCAGUCCUGUAUCAGAAUGU
rnacentral:lncRNA from 1 species